GUGCAGGUUUAGUGGAGUGAUCUCCCUGCACCCGAUUGAUUGCCCAAUCAUCGAAUAAAUCAUACCUGCUUUAUAACCUGCUUGGGUUAUAGAGUUUGUUUCCACAAGUCAAUUUUGGCACCCCAGAUGGGACACUCUCUGUCCAGCUGCAGGACCAGCUGAGGAGGGGGACACCUCAGGCGCGCCCCGAGGUUUCUCGGAAGGACUCCCCUUCCUCUUCUGAUCACUGCGGGAAUAGACAAGGACCAUCUAUCGGCGGACCAGGUAUGUGUAUGGGAAUAAGGGGGCCCAUAAGUCGAGAUGAAACAUCCCCUGCAGGGCACAGCCCUUUGUGCUACCCCAUGGGAGGUGAGCUCACAGGUUAGGUUAGGUUGCUGGUUAGAGUAGGAGAAAAGCUCCCGGGAGGGAGUUCCUACAAAGGGGACCUGUAAGUCGUAUGUGUGGAAAAAGAGUAAUAACUCUCGCCUAGGUGGUUGGUAACAAUGGAUUUUGUUAAAUGACAACGUGAAUUUUUGUGGCAAUAAUAGCAGGACUCACAGGUUGUAUAAUUUCUAUUACCAUCGGUUGUAAAUGUUCAGUACCAUGUAUUUGAACUACUGAUGCAUUCAAAACAUUCUUUCAAGUAUUCGAACUCAGACUGUACUUAAGCCGGCAUGUCUGUGAGUGAGUUGGACAUUGCAGAGCCAUGAAGAGAGUGCGGAGUCCUCAGUUUGUGGUUCCGUUCUCCCACGAGGGAAAUGGCCGGAGAAAGAUGAAGUGAAAAACAAUUCUUUGUGUUGUCUGCCUGUUGUUUGUAUAUAUUUUAUAGACUGGAAUAAGGAUGGGAGUUUGUACUCCAAAGACUGGGAAGAGGGAUCAGAGGAAAGGUGUACAUUCCACCCAACAAAUGAAUGUUUGCCUGUUUAUGUUAUACUUUGUUUAGUGUAUGAGGAGGUAUACUGGGGUUGGUGGCAUCAUUUGUGUCCAGAGUGCCACUGUGACUGAUGGACGGAGCACUGGAGAUGAGUGUGGGGAAAUUCUGGAGUAUGGAGAAUUACUUGUGGAAAUCUUAAGGUAGUAAUGAACCGAUAAGAAUUUUGUAAACAUCAUGAGAGGCUCCCAGGGGAAGGAAAUUCCCAAACAAACUCUUUUGGGAUGCAUAUUGGUGGGAUAUUGCAGGGGAACUUGGAGGCACCCUGAGUAAGAAAACUUUAAUCAAGUAUUACAAACAAUGGUGGUUAACGUAUUAAGUUAGAAGAUGAUAAGUGUCCCUGGAAUGGGACCCUAAACUAUAAUACCUUCUUACAGUUACUGUUAUUCUUAAGGAGAGAAGGUAUAUGAAGUAACAUGAACAGUUUUUAUAAUUGAGUGCUCUAAUCACGAGACUAAGUACUGGGUGUUAAUGGAAACUGAAGAAUUGUACUGUUUGACUUGUGGGUUCUUAAGGGAAUGGGACAAACAGUUUUGAUGGUAUAAUGGUAUACAGAAGUGUAACUCGGGGUUAAAGAGAAAGUGAAUUUAUCUGCGGCUGCCAUGAGAGCAGGCCCCCCCCCCCCCCCCCCCACGGUUCCAUGCGAGCAGAACUCUUGGAGUGAGAGAGAGCUAGAGUUAGAGACUGCUGCUGUAAACAGCGUUACUUGUGAGAGGGGGGGGAGGUGGAGAGGACGGGGCACUGGAAGUGAGAAUACCUUUCAUCUGCAGAGAUCUAGGAAACCCAAAAUUCCAGUGUUAGCACUGGAAGCCUUCGGAGAGGAGGAGGUGAAACUGAAAUAUAAUGUUAGUGGUUUAUGUAAUAAUGAGUUUGGAAAGUGAAAGGUUGGGGAAGGACGCAGGCUGAGGAAGGCAAAGUGUAACAGGGAUGUCAGAACCAAAAAGGACGGAAAUCAGAUCCACUGGUUAAAUUCCAGCUAGGAGAGCAGGAUAAAGAGGUUUAUUUUCUGGUGAAUACGAGUGCCUCUUACCACCUGUAGAUGAUUUUGCAGCAGUAGUAGGAGCUACUGCCCAACAAGAAAAAGCUUACCUUUCUGGGAUAAAUUAAAUAUAGGCUGAGAAAAUAAGUAGGAAUAUAUAAAUUCUUGUACAUGCCAGGUUCUCCAAAACUGUUAUUCUGGCAAGACUUAUUAGAACAAAUGGAUGCAGAAGUUAAAUUCAAUAAAACUGAAGCUAAGCGUCAAAUAUUAACUGGUUGAAAAUUGUAAGUCUGGCUUUAACACAAACUGGGAAAAACAAUGCUGUAUCCCCAGAAGUUGCAGAAAUCUUAAAUAAGGUUUGCUUAAGAGUGUGGGUAUCAGGGAUAACUGAUAGAGCCAAAAUGCAGCCCUAAGCAAGAGCUAGAGCUAGCCUAGUCUGGGUAAAGCAGUGCCCUUUGGGGAUAUGCAACUGUAGAACGAUAAAAGAAAUAUUAGAUAACUUUUGGAUUUCAGAUUACUAAUUGAAUGUGAAUCCAAAUACAAUACUCUAACCUUGCUGAUGAAAAAUUGGAUAGCAAGUGCUAUAGUUUGGUACAAGAUUUGAGGGCAAGUAAUAGAACUGUUGAAUGGAUAAACUCCAUGGUGGUAAAUCCAUAAACUUUAUUAACCAAGUUAGGGAAAGAGUAGGUGGAGUUUACCUUCUGGAUUUGAAGGAUGCCUUUUCUGCCUGAUUUGGCCAAAGAAAGCCUAAGGUUAUUUGCCUUUGAAUAGGAAACCCCAAUAUGGGGAGAAAAAGAUUCAAUUAACCUGGACAGUGUUACCCAGGGUUGUGGGAACAGCCUAAUGAUUUUUGAGAACUGGUCGACUCGUGACCCUGAGAUUUGGGUUCCUCCAUUCCAUGGUGAAACUUCACUGCAGAACGUGGAUACCACAAAACAAAAGAGAACUGUGUGUAGUGGACUGUGAGUUUGCUGAAUUUCUUUGUUAACAAGUUUCUCAACAGAAGGUGCAAAUAACUCAACAGCAAGUGUCUGGGACAGGAGGUUACAGCUGGACUUUGAAUCUUAACGACUGCCAGGAAAGAACUCCGUACAUUCUCAGGAAUGACAGGAGGGUGCCAACUGUGGAUACACAGCUAUGAACUGUUGGUAAAGCUGUUUUAUGAAGUGGGUAUGAGAUGGCCAAAGUGCUUGAGGGCAGCAGCUGCACUAGAAGCCAGUAAAUUUACGAAUAACAGUUUUAACAUCUCAUACAGUGUCUACUGUAUUGGAGGUAAAAGGGGGGCAUUGGCUCUCACACCCAAAGGUUCCUGAAAUAUCAGGCCAUCCUGGUAGAGCAGGAUGAGACAGAAAUAAUUGUAACUAAUAUUGCCAACCCAGCAUCUUUCCUUAUAGGAACUCCUGGAGAACCAGUAUUUCAUGACUGCUUUGAAACAACUAAAGCUACGGACUGUUGCCAGUCGCACCUGAAAGAUGAACCCUUAGAAGAUGCAGAAGACACCUGGCUUACUGGCGGAAGCAGUUCUGUGAGACAAGGAAACUGUAGGGCAGGAUACACAGUAACUGCUACGGACAAGCUGUGCAAACACAAGGAAAGGAACAGUACAAGAUAAAUGACUGUGACCGGUUUCAAUGCACCGUAAAGAGGUCAGACCGAGGAAGACGUUGAGCCUUCGCGAGGAAGACUUCUGACUUCAUCCCCACGACCACUAGAGGGAGACCCCUAUUACGGACAGCGCAUGUGCCAGGGGAGGGGUGGUAUGUAAACGAGUUUCUGGAAGAACAAUGGAUAUGUAAAUGAGUUCCAAGAAUUUUGCUGAAUAUGUAUGGCUUUGGCUUAUAAAUUUGUAGUGCUUCUUCUGGCUUGUGUGCAGGUUUAGUGGAGUGAUCCCCCUGCACCCAAUUGAUUGCGCAAUCAUUGAAUAAAUCAUACCUGCUUGGGUUAUAGUUUGUUUCCACAAGUCAAAACUUGACAGUAGAGGACCAGUUUGAAAUCUAACUGCAUUUCUAAAUACAGCUCAGUUAUUUGCUGAUGUAGGCUCAUGCAUGGUUCCAGAAUAGCUAUAUAAAUCCUUUGCCACGAGAGAAUUGUAAGGGAAUGCAAGGGGCAAAGAUAUAAGAUUCUUAAGAAGUGGGACCAUUUCCUCUUUAGCUCACAAAACAGCUUAAUUACUUCUAGAACAAGGCGCUUUGCACUACUUAACAUUAUUAUUGAUAUUUAUGUUAGAUUUAUAAAGCAAAUAAUUUUAGGUACUCUAACAUAACCAGAUGUUCAUUUUCUAAGAAAUAGGCCUUUCUCCUCCAUUAUUCUAGCUUAGGUAGUUGAAAUGAAAAGAGAAGUCUGGACACAGAAGUCCACCUGAACUUUCAUAGAUUGUUUAUAUAAAUAAAAAAAGACAUGUUCCUGUGUAGGAAGCUGAAAGUGCUUUAUAGUGCAUCAGUUAAAUGCUUCUCUGCAUAGCACUCAUAUUUUCUCCAUUAUUAAGCAAAGAAUGUUGAUGUGUCUUUUUUAAUCCUGCAUGUAAUCUAGUAAAUGUACACAACUGACCUGAAAGCUUGCAGUGGAAGGCUAAAAGGCUUAAAGUGCAACAUUAAAACAGUUCCAUGUGUAUAUAACAUAUACAUGCAUAAUAACAUCUAGCCUGAACUAUUAUCACCACAGAAAUCAAACUGCAACAAUAGUUACUAUUGCUUAUUUACUAGUAUGCAGACAUGGUUAUAAUACAUGAAAUAACAAGUGGCAUAACUGCUUGCAGACGUACACAGUAUAAAAAAAUUGUCUUACACACCUUUGUCCAUACUCAAUAAUUUCUUCUUCAGUAUGAUUUAUUAACAGAAAUGGUGCUGCGCCAUCAUGGUAAUCAGAAAAGGUAAUCACUGUAGAAUGUUCAGUCAAGUUGACAUCCACUGUAAUCCCUCCAAGCUAUCAGAUAUAAAAAAUUACAUAGAAAAUAACAGCAGAAUUAUUUUCUGAAAAAAGCAAAUAUAAUUUAAAUAUUUCUAAAAACUUUUACAAGAUGAAAUCAUCAUGCAAUAAAACAAAUGAUAUAUUUUAACAUGCUCAUCAUAUAUACUCCUAAUCAUAGCAUUACUAGAAAACAAGCAUUGCAUUCAGUAACUAAAACUAUGGAGAAUUUCUACAAUCCCAAAAUUUAGGCUAGUGGUAGCACAAUCUUCCUUGAACCACCCAUAUGAAAUAAUAUCCCUCAAAAUAUUCUACCAAUAAGAACAUUCAAAUAUUUUAAAUUGGUGCUAGAUUAGGCUAUAUGUAAAUUUAGUCACAUCGAAGUUACCUUUCAAAGUAGCAGCAUCACUUUACAACUAACGUAAACACUUUUCAGCCUUAGCUAGGGGAAUGCUGACAAAAUCCUCUAGCUUCAAUAGUUCAUUUCUCAGGAGAACUUAUAAUGAAACAUCUACGUAUACCUGCAUGUUCAUACACACACACACACACACACACGUGUAUAUACAUGAAUUUUUUUCCCCCAGCUAAGCUUUGUAAUACUUCACUGAGUAGAAAACUAUGCAGAAUGAAAAUGGGACAUGCUUUUAUGUUAUUUUCAAAGGUAACCACUUACCUUGUUGUCUAAAUGCAAUAAAAGACAGUUUUCUUGCUUAUCAAAA